UUAUAGCGUGAGGGAUAGAAGCGGCAUCCUUUUGUCGUGUUUUUGCGAACAAAAGAUAUAGCGGAUAGCCUGACCCGUU
rnacentral:sRNA from 1 species